rfam:Flavobacterium hibernum strain DSM 12611 Contig15, whole genome shotgun sequence.
UUUUAGCCCCGAUAGAAGUGAAAAUCCUUUUAUCUGCCGCGGCGGAUAAAAGAUUGUAACGGAUAGCGGGAUUAGCU